rnacentral:rRNA from 1 species
AUUGAACGCUGGCGGCAGGCCUAACACAUGCAAGUCGAACGAGUGGCGGACGGGUGAGCAAUGUCUGGGAAACUGCCUGAUGGAGGGGGUCAACUACUGGAAACUGUAGCUAAUACCGCAUUCCAUCAGAUGUGCCCAGUUGGGAUUAGCUUGUUGUUGGGGUAACGGCUCACCAAGGCGACUAUCCCUAGCUGGUCUGAGAGGAUGACCAGCCACACUGGAACUGAGACACGGUCCAGACUCCUACGGGAGGCAGCAGUGGGGAAUAUUGGACAAUGGGCGAAAGCCUGAUGCAGCCAUGCCGCGUGUAUGAAGAAGGGCUUCGGAUUGUAAAGUACUUUAAGCGGGGAGGCGUUACCAGCAGAAGAAGCACCGGCUAACUUCGUGCCAGCAGCCGCGGUAAUAC